GCCAAAAGGUAUAGUUACAUUUCCAUAGCCCGCACUAUACGUUCAUCCGCCGUUUCAGGACUAGCUUUAAUGCAAAACUUAUGGCAAAUCAUUGGAAAUUGCUGCUGGCCGAGUUGAAAUUGUUUUGCGUGCUGCUGCAUAGUUUGAAGCGCAUUAGGCCAAAAGGCUUUUGGCUUCCAACGGGCCACAAAACUCGUCAACGCUAAAAGAGGGGCAUGGGCGGCAGGGGAUUGAACAAAUUAGACGCCAUCACUGUUCCUUCGAACCAAAGUGGAGGUCAGGACAAUGGGACAGGCUACAUGCAAUGGCUGUAACUCAUAGCACUUAAGGGUUCAGUGGGGUCGGGUUGCUUAUAAAUGGGUUUGUAUCAAGAAGCGAUGUGCGAAAGCGCGGCAAAUUGUUACGCCAGCCAAAAGAAGAAAACUUGUUUUGAAAUACUUCUGCGUUAACCGAAAAACCAGAACAGAAAGGGAUCCUUGAGCAAGUGGCUAAAAGGAGUAGCACGAGCAGGAGCAGGACCGGAACCCGACCAGUUACCAGAAACAAAUGAUGCAAUAGAAUUUUAUGAGCCACACUAAAUGUGGCUAAUAGAUUUCAACAACGUGGCAAUAGAAAAGAUA
rnacentral:sRNA from 1 species